rnacentral:misc_RNA from 1 species
GCCGCCUCUUUUUUCUUUCCGCAUACAGUCGCAUACCAUGGCACAAUACAAGCCGAUAAAAUCAACUGGGGUCGCUACACCUUACCUUGUCCACGGCGCGGCAGAACAGUAUCUGCGCAUUCCAUGCGCGGCGUUCUUGUGGUACGCCUUUCUGUCUGGCGCUCUCGCGCCGUUUCUGCGCACCGCGGACGAGGCGACCGUGGCGUCGUGCCACUUCAUCGUGUGGCGCGUCCUUAGAUGGGUUCAUGCCUACCUGUGCGCGAACGGAGUGUUUAUCGUGACGUUGUUCCUUGUAGAGAACAUUCGGUGCCUCAUUGCCCCGGGGCCUAGGCAGCUGUCUUUGGCGGACGACUACGAGGAGGGGAACCCGACAAAGGUGGACAAAAUGGCCGCCUUCGAGUACGAUACCCCAGCUGACGCGUACGAGCGUGUGAAAAUGUUCUGCUUCAUGGUAACCGGCGUGGCCUUUGUACGCAUCUUUACUGCGACAACAGGUAUCUUCCUAGGCCUCUUCACUGCUAGUGUCGCAGGCUACCUCGACCGCUACGCGCAUCCAUGGUGGUUUGGCUUCUGGUCCCGGUUGACAGCUUUUAUCUCUAUUGUGGCCUUCUCCGUGCUCGGCGUGUAUAACGUUCAGCAGUACGGCCAGUUUGCCACCAGAUCUGAGUGCAAGAUUCUCAUCGCAAACCACAGCUGCGUCAUCGAGGUGAUUUGGGUCUACGUGAUGGGCGGCUUCCCAUCCUUCGUCUCGCGCAAGGAGAACCUCUCCUUUUUCUUCUUCGGCAACGUUGUCCGCGGGAGCUCGAGCAUCUUAGUCGACCGAGAUGCAGCGACGUCACGAGAGCAGGCCAUGACGACAAUCCUGCGACGCGCCGGCGACCCCACGGCGCCGCAGCUGAUGAUCUUCCCUGAAGGGACGACAGGGAAUCAGCAAGCCCUGUUCAUGUUCAAAAAGGGUGUGUUCGAGGCUGCAGUGCCGGUGCAGAUGGUGUGCAUUGCCUUUCCCUACAAGCACUUCAAUCCUGCCUGGACGGGGCGCGGCGUCGGUGGCAAUGGACUAUGGGAUAUUUUGGUUCGGCUUAGCUGCCAGUUUGUAAACUACGCUGAGGUGCGCCUUCUCCCUGUCUAUCACCCAACCGAGGAGGAGAGGAGAGACCCGAAGCUGUAUGCCAGCCACUGCCAGAGAAUGAUGGCAACUGUGCUGCGAGAGAAUAUCAGCGACGCCUCGUUCAGCGACUACAAGGAGGCAUUCCGCCACUUCACGGAGCUAAAGAAGAAUCGGUGAGAGCGAAACACGAAAGAGGGUGCGAUUCAGGGGUACUGAGGGCGAGCACAGAGUAAUCUUUUGGGCACUCCUCCCCUCGCAUAUACCCAAACUCACGCAGAUCUGAAGCUGCUCUGAAUGUGGGGGUGGGUGGGAGGGGGCGAUCCGCGUUCGUUGUGUUCGAGAUACUUUGCGCAUGCCGUGGCGACAGCGAGCCCUCUCGUUUUCGCUUGCCUCUUUCUGCCUUCUUCAGCAGGAUGCGAAUGCCUCCGGCUUCCAUUUACUUGUCGGGCUGCCGCAGCUCUGCUGUGGCGUACUGGCCGCCGACACUCUUCAUGGGAUGGGUACAUCAAGAGGUGCUACUUCCGUCGUCCCCGGCGUUGCUGCACCAUUUCUUCGUAUGCUCUCCUUAUGUGUGUGCACGUGGGCACUCGAUAGACGUGUGCGUGCCCAACUGCUCGUUUGCGCGCGCGGCUUCCUCUUUACUGGGGGGCGGCCCAGCCCACCUUUCAGCUUUUUGACAGUGUCUACCCUGGUACGCCCCGAUGACAGGAGGAUAUCUCAUUGCUUGGUAUCUUUGGGUCCAGUACACCCCCUCCCCCCACUCUGCGUGGGGAAGCCAAGCAGCCUCUCCCUAUCCCCUGCCAAUGCCGAGCCACCUCUGGUGGUGACAGGGCCAAGUGCCUACGACGUGAGGGGGAGGCCAGAGUGGUUUGCCGCUACGGAUGCCGGCGGUCAGGCUGUGGACAUUGUUGCGCUGGAGAGGCCAGCGACGGUGCGCACGCUUCUGCCAUCCAUGUGAUGGGCGAAGUGUCAGCGCGACUCGUACAUAUCCCACCCCCGGGCCUCGCACUGCCCCACUGGUGUGGGGCGCCGGAGUGCGGGACCGCGAGGAGAUGCACUGGGUGGCGACCAGCACAAGGGUAGCUGCUGUGAGGCGACCUGCGAUGCGGGGAGGGGGGGCGAGUAGAGUUUUGCGUAGGGGCGGUGCUGGGAUGACGGAGUCGGCGCAUUGCUGUAACACGUGUGCCUAGCGCUGCCUCGCCCCACGCGGAUGGGGUUCGCGGCAGGCCCGGUGGGUAGAGCGGAGUUUGGAUUCAUGUUCUAUGGCAGAGAAUGGUGGACACGUUGCGGAACAAGCAAAAGCAAACAAAUGUAUCGUUGUGGGCCUCUCUUUCUCGUUUGUGUGCAUAUGUGCAUUCAUCUGCAACUGUACUUACUGUGUCUCUCUUCUUAAGCCUCCUGCCGUCUCUCUCACUUUCGUCCUGCUGCUGAUGCUGAUGCUUUACGGUGCACGUCGUAUUGUUUUUUUUUUCUGAGUGGAAAGGAGUACGCAGCACGAAGUGUCGGACGAAGCGAGAUAAAAAUGGGACAGAGGUGUGGGAGAGGGGAGGGUCGCCUUGUGUGGAGUGGCUGAAGCAGAGACAGAAAAGAACAAGGACUGCCGAAAAGGGAGAUGCUGCCCUGAUAAAGGAUGCCCAUCUUGCGCCACCGCUGACUCCGGAAACAUUUUGAUUGACCGCAACUGCGGCACUGAUCUUC